rnacentral:rRNA from 1 species
UACGGAGGGUGCAAGCGUUAUCCGGAUUCACUGGGUUUAAAGGGUGCGUAGGUGGGCCCGUAAGUCAGUGGUGAAAUCUCCGAGCUUAACUCGGAAACUGCCAUUGAUACUAUAGGUCUUGAAUUAUCUGGAGGUUAGCGGAAUAUGUCAUGUAGCGGUGAAAUGCUUAGAUAUGACAUAGAACACCGAUUGCGAAGGCAGCUGGCUACAGGUAUAUUGACACUGAGGCACGAAAGCGUGGGGGAUCAAACAGG